ensembl:lncRNA
UGCAACACUACAUUACACGUUUUAAACAAGCAAUUGUAUGGAGAUUUUAGACACCUUUGUGUUGAAGUUGUCCUUGCUUAUCCAUUAAGAACAGAUAAUGUGAGGUCAAGUAUAAUUACAAACAUAUAAAAAUGCAAAUUAAUAAGCUUGUUUAAUUUUUGCUACAUAAUAACCAACUGUGUUCUGGUAUACUAUUACACUUGAAUUGAAAAUGAAUUCAAUUAUAAAAAGGUCCAGCUUCCCAGUCAAAGUAAACACUAAUGAUAUUACUUAAACUGUUAUCCCACAAUGCUGCGCAAUAUGACUAUUAUUUAUUGUAUUUACAGUGGCUUCUUGUGUAAUGGCAAAAAAUGACAGUCUGCACUGAUCUCACUGUCAGAUUCUUAAAACAGCAUUUUAUUAUAAUAAAUCAUUAUCUUGAAUCUUGUACAAAUCUGGCAGUGUGUGAUUAAUAAUUCUGUAUAUCUUAAAUAUUGAAAGAGAAGCAGAGGGCAAAACAAUGAAUACAAAAUACAUUGCAUUCAAAAGUAAUGAAAUUAGUCUUUAAAGCUGCACACAAAGAGCUGGUGCAGAGCCCAAAAAUGGGGGAAAGUGCAGAGAAAGACAAAUAAGCUGUGAUAGGAACAGAGAGAGUGUGAAUGCAGGGUUUGUGAAUGUGACCUCAGAUUGCAGACUGCUGUUAAAGAUUAUCCAGCCCCUUGAGCCGUUUAAUUCCAAACAUAAUCCUGCAUCCAGUGUUCAUGUUGUUUUUCCACUUUAUACCACAUGGCCUAUUUCUCCACUGCACAUCGUUUCAUUUACAAGUUCAACAACCCCACCCCCCCCCCUUUAUAGCACUUGUGUGUGGACGUGCAUGGAGAAUGUGGAGUCAUGGACAACCAGGUGGAUGCGUGGGAGGCCGUGCUAUUAGACUUUUUCACAAAAACCUGCUCCUUAAUGUCUACAACUGUGUUGUUUGUUCUUAGAGGUUAAAAAAGACGUACAUUUGAAAUGGAUCUGUUUGUCUUUGCGUUUGUGCAGUCAUGUAUAGAAUUGAUUUUAGAGCACUUAAAAAUCAUUCAAUUACCAUGGAACUAAAUGUAUUUUAGAUAUGCUUACUGUAUAUAAUCCUAAUAAUAAAUCUUUAGUAUUGUAAUUUUAGGCUGAGUUGAAUAUGUACAAGUGUUUAUUCUCAACUGUCAUCUGCUGGCAGAGAAAUAUAUUACCAUGUUGUGAAAUACUGUAUAUUUUGUAAGGCGAGAAAUUAUUUCAAUCAGUG